GUCAAGGUCAGUUGAAAGCACGCUGCUUGCUGUGCCUCUGUGGAGGAUUAUCAAUUUCAAAACUAGAAUUGCCGAAUAACCAUAAAAAAACACAAUGUCUGGUGUGGACGAGAAUGCCUUGUUGAACGACCCUCAAAUACAGCAGUAUGCCCAACAGAUGUCAGCACAGUCACAGGUGAUGGCCCGCAUCCUAAAGCUCUCAGAGAACUGUUUUGAUCUGUGCGUGUCUAAGAUGAGUUCCUCCCUUGGCGGGAGGGUGGAAACCUGCAUUCAGAACUGUGCCGACCGUGCAGUGGAUACAACGCGAGUCAUAGUGAAGAAUUUUCAGAUAAAGGCAGAACAGGCCUCUUCUUCUUCUGACCUGCCAGAACUUAAUUAGCAUUUCAUCUCUUAAGAAAACAUUCUGAGGAAUUGUUAUCUGAAGUGAACAUACAGUGAUUAUAACAUCCUGGAGUGGGCCUUGGAGUACAAGGAAGGAAUGUACAGCAGGUUUUUCUAGUGUUACACAGGACCUGUUAUAUUUAAAGAGAAUUUGCAAACUUAAAGUGGAUAGCGUAACUCCUCCAUAUAUGACAGAUUAUAAGCUACUGUGCACUCCAUCCUCAGGACUAUCAACAAAGUGGGACAUUAUGGACAUUUCCUGUUAUAUGUAUUAAUUGUUGUAGUAUGCUUUAAUAUAUUUGUUUACUGAAUUUAAUUAAUCGAAACAGGGCAGAGUUAAAAUGUAAUUCAAAACAAAAUGGCACCAUGUAAGAUCUGCACGUGUAACAAAUACGCUUUUAAAUUUAAACAGUUGUCAUAUGUCACUUCAAUCAUCUGAAAUAUAAUUUAAGGAAGUGAAGGGAGCAAAUUUUGUACAUCUUUCAGCUUAUUAGCACUAACACACUAGUGCUUUUCUACAAAAAUUUUUGUACUGCAAAUUUCAACUUUCAAGACCUUAAUUAUUUUCUAUUUCAAAAGUAAACAAGGACAAAGUUAA